UCUCUUUCCCUCUCCACUCACCCUCAAUCUGCUUCUCUUUCUCUCUCUUCCCCUCUUCACUCAUUCUCGAUCUGCUUCUCUUUACAUGUCCAUGAAGAGCAUUGCCGCAUCCUGCCGCCGCUGCUGAAGUACCAAAUUUUCAAGCCUUCUCUCACGAACAGCAGGAGGUAGAAUAGUUCGUUGAUGUCGUUAUAUCUGAAGAUGGUUUAGGAAAUGCACUUUAUGAACUUGUUUCUUGUGUAAACGAUGGGGUAAAGGCUACAAAUUAGCAAUGCACUUCAACAAGUGAUUCUAGAGUUAUUUCUGAUAGGGACUGCAAGGAUACAAUGGUAACUAAGUCCUCUCACCUCAAUGUUUUCAACGAACAAGACUGAUGCACUUCGACAAGUGAUACAGGAGUUACUCCAGGUGAGAACUCCAAGAACAUGCCGAUAACUAACUUGUACCGUCUGGAAGAUGAUCACAUUGCAGAUGUUCUCUGGAAUCUUAUCGCUUGAUAUUAUGACUGCCCUUUUUGCAAUGGUGGUUUAUCUGAUACUUGAUAAAUGCAUUCUUGCUGGAGAGCUUCAAGAAAUGAGUAAGAAGGUUCAGCUCCUCUUACAACGGUUCAGUUGCGUAAUUAAUGACUACAUGAUGCAUGAAUUUCUGUGAUAUUCUCUGAAUUAUGUAGUAUAUAUUGGAUGUUUAAUUGUUGAGCAGAGAGGGAAAUUUAAUUAGAGUUGAAAAAAGGAUUGUGUUUAUCAUUAUACAGUUAGGUAGUCACUUUUAGAUUGUGUUUAUCAUUUGAAUUUGUUGUUGGAUGAAAAAAGGACUUACAUGAAGGAUGAAGAUGUAUUGACGAAUUCCUUUUUUUUUUAUGUAUUGAACAUUUGUUUUUCCUA